rnacentral:rRNA from 1 species
GCAUAUCAAUAAGCGGAGGAAAAGAAACUAACAAGGAUUCCCCUAGUAACUGCGAGUGAAGCGGGAUGAGCUCAAAUUUUAAAUCUGGCAGAGUAAUGACUGUCCGAAUUGUAAUUUAGAGAAGUGUUUUCUGUGCCAGGCCGUGUACAAGUCUCCUGGGAUGGAGCGUCAUAGAGGGUGAGAAUCCCGUCUUUGACACGGACUAUAAUGGUGCUCUGUGAUACACUCUCAAAGAGUCGAGUUGUUUGGGAAUGCAGCUCAAAAUGGGUGGUGAACUCCAUCUAAAGCUAAAUAUUGGCGAGAGACCGAUAGCGAACAAGUACCGUGAGGGAAAGAUGAAAAGCACUUUGGAAAGAGAGUGAAACAGUACGUGAAAUUGCUGAAAGGGAAACACUUGAAGUCAGUCACAUUGGCUAGAACUCAACCUCCCCUUUGUUGGGUUGGUGUACUUUCUAGUGAAUGGGCCAGCAUCACUUUUGGCUAUUGGAAAAGGGUUGAAGGAAUGUGGCACUCUGUUUCAGGGUGUGUUAUAGCCUUUGAUCAUAUACAGUAGCUGGGAGUGAGGAAAGCCUUUAUUGUAGGAUGCUGGCAUAAUGGCUUUAAAUGACCCGUCUUGAAACACGGACCAAGGAGUCUAACAUGCGUGCGAGUGUUUGGGUGUUUAAAACCCAUGCGCGUAAUGAAAGUGAAAGUUGGGAAGGCUGUCAUGGCCUGCACUGAUGCCCGGACUUGAGAUUUAUCGACAGUUUCUGCGGUAGAGCAUGUAUGUUAGGACCCGAAAGAUGGUGAACUAUGCCUGAAUAGGGUGAAGCCAGAGGAAAACUCUGGUGGAGGCUCGUAGCGAUUCUGACGUGCAAAUCGAUCGUCAAAUUUGGGUAUAGGGGCGAAAGACUAAUCGAAACCAUCUAGUAGCUGGUCCUGCCGA